UUCAGCGUGCCUUUCGGCUGCUCUACAGGGUGUUCGGUCUGCUUAUAGGAUUACCACCCACAACAGUAACUACUCUAAAGCCAGAAGCUGAGUAUGCAUAUGGGGUGGAAGAGAGGGCACCAGCAGAGGAAAGCCCAGAGGGGCAGCAGUUUGUCCGAAUCGUCCCCAGGAUCACCCCUGCGCUCCCAGGAGGAUCCCCACCAACUUAAUUGCACCGGCCUCUGAAGCAAGACAGCUGUGCAGAUGGGGGACGGUCAGAGAAAGUUUCUAAACUAACGGUGUGACCUCUCCAAACUCCAAGCUAGCACUAAGCCAGUCG